AUCCCAAUGUUUCGGAUAAGGGAAUUUGCGAAAGGUACGGCGUUCAGGUUUACUUUCGUCGUCAACAGAGUCAAACCCGAUAACACGUUGCAAAAACACGUGGAGUUUAGGAUGUGUACGAGGAUCCUUUGUAACUUCGAACAGUGGUUCAAAGACAUUUCUGACGACCUCUUCAAAAGUCUCAACAAUACCGGACUUCUUAU